rnacentral:lncRNA from 1 species
GCUUUAUUACAAUUGAAAACAAACUUAAUGACUUGGCCUAAGGUGCUUGAUUGCCACGGUUGGAUAGUAAUGAGCAUGGGAUUCCUUUUCUCCUUAAGUGCACGGCUCAACAAUUAAUUCACAUGAUCAAUGAGAUUUGAAGACUCCUUAAUGCUCACGGCUAAGCGUUGAUGAGCUCCAUUGGAUUCUUCUAAUUUGAUACAUGGAAAUUGUUGGAGUUAAGCAUUCUUAAUGCUCCUCGGGUACACUUGAACUUGGUAUAGGAUUCCUUUGCUAAGGAAUGAAUUUACCACGGCUAAGUGUUGAUUAAGGAUGCACUAAAUAACAUAGAAUGUUGUUAGUGCAAGAUGGUAGGCUGCCAACGGCUAGGACAUGUGCAUAAUGCACCAUUAAGGUCUCAAACGGCCAUAUGCUAAUUCCACAUGAGCAACUUUGCUCCAACAACUCUGACAUUAACUUAGGAUUCCUCUAGAUGAAAUGUGCCCAGGUGGAUUUAGCUCCAAUGGUCCAGACAUGAUGUUUAAGCCUCAUAAAUGCCCUAUUAAGCUCCUCCAUU